rnacentral:rRNA from 1 species
UACGUAGGUGGCAAGCGUUAUCCGGAAUUAUUGGGCGUAAAGAGCGCGCAGGUGGACGAAUAAGUCUGACGUGAAAGCCCCCGGCUCAACCGGGGAGUGUCGUUGGAAACUGUUGGUCUUGAGUGCAGAAGAGGGAAGUGGAAUUCCAUGUGUAGCGGUGAAAUGCGUAGAGAUAUGGAGGAACACCAGUGGCGAAGGCGGCUUCCUGGUCUGUAACUGACACUGAGGCGCGAAAGCGUGGGUAGCAAACAGG